GGAAGUGGGAGGCCACCAGGGUGCUGCAUAUUGCCAGCAAGGAAAGGCACAGGCCCCAGGGCAAAACAGAAUAGAUCACAAAAUGAGAGCAGAUACAGGGCAUGCUUUUACUUUGACUUGCAGCAAAGCAGAUUUCUCAAAGCUGAAUCAAGACUUUAAAACAAAGAUAAAGGAGACAUUGGGAAUGAGGAGAUAA
rnacentral:lncRNA from 1 species